UUAGUUGGUUAGUUGUUAGAGCUUAGGUCUCGUAACCGAAAGGUCGCGGGAUCGAAUCCCGCUAGAGGCUGAA
rnacentral:tRNA from 1 species